CGAGGGGCAUCAGGAUGUAGCAAUACAUUGCUGGCGACCGGCGCACGGGUGAGUAACACGUAUCCAACCUGCCUUUUACUCGGGGAUAGGCUUUCGAAAGAAAGAUUAAUACCCGAUGGUAUAAUAUUUCCGCAUGGGAUUAUUAUUAAAGAAUUUCGGUAAAAGAUGGGGAUGCGUUCCAUUAGGCAGUUGGCGGGGUAACGGCCCACCAAACCUUCGAUGGAUAGGGGUUCUGAGAGGAAGGUCCCCCACAUUGGAACUGAGACACGGUCCAAACUCCUACGGGAGGCAGCAGUGAGGAAUAUUGGUCAAUGGGCGAAAGCCUGAACCAGCCAAGUAGCGUGAAGGAUGACUGCCCUAUGGGUUGUAAACUUCUUUUAUAGGGGAAUAAAAUGAGCCACGUGUGGCUUUUUGUAUGUACCCUAUGAAUAAGGAUCGGCUAACUCCGUGCCAGCAGCCGCGGUAAUACGGAGGAUCCGAGCGUUAUCCGGAUUUAUUGGGUUUAAAGGGAGCGUAGGUGGACAUGUAAGUCAGUUGUGAAAGUUUGCGGCUCAACCGUAAAAUUGCAGUUGAUACUGUGUGUCUUGAGUACAGUAGAGGUGGGCGGAAUCGUGGGUAGCG
rnacentral:rRNA from 1 species